GACGAACGCUGGCGGCGUGCUUAACACAUGCAAGUCGAGCGGUAAGGCCCUUUCGGGGGUACACGAGCGGCGAACGGGUGAGUAACACGUGGGUGACCUGCCCUUAGCUCUGGGAUAAGCCUGGGGAAACUGGGUCUAAUACCGGAUAUGACUCCAUGACGCAUGUUGUGGGGUGGAAAGCCUUGUGCGGCUAGGGAUGGGCCUGCGGCCUAUCAGCUUGUUGGUGGGGUGGUGGCCACCAAGGCGACGACGGUAGCCGGCCUGAGAGGGCGACCGGCCACACUGGGACUGAGACACGGCCCAGACUCCUACGGGAGGCAGCAGUGGGGAAUCUUGCGCAAUGGGCGAAAGCCUGACGCAGCGACGCCGCGUGGGGAUGACGGCCUCGG
rnacentral:rRNA from 1 species